rnacentral:lncRNA from 1 species
CAAAUAUGAAAACAAAAUGUUACCUUUCUUUAAUGACAGACAUGCUUUAAGAAAAAGCUCCAAUCAAUCAAAACAAUGCAUUAAAUAGUCAAAUCGACGGUUAACAAAAGUUGUUGACUUUUUUACAUCAGCAUUUAUUAAUGGUCAUUUUUCAGAUGUUUCUACCGAUUAAGAGCUGCAGCACAUCAACAUAAUCCUGCAGAGUGUGUUGUGCUUUGAUAUAAGUGACUGUAAAUGUUGUUCUGCACAGAACUCUUCCUGGCUGAGACACUGAGAAGAAUCAUGGAAAACCUGAAGGAGAAUGUUAAUCCUGACUCGGAGCCGAGACCAAAGAGAACGAUUGGUACACAAGCAGCCACCACAAAAGAGCCUUGUUGAGCUCCAAACAAAUGCUUCAUUCUUCAGGGAUUCAACAAACAAAGAUUUACAUGGUACAGCAACUACAAAGAACACAUCCAGACCUUUUUUCUGUUGACUGAAAAGCAGGAAGGAAAUUUUUUUUUACGUGGACAGAGCAGAAAAAGAAGAGAAAAUUGUCUUUUUUACUAAAUGAGACAUGGAAACUGGCUCUUUUAUUCCCAAUUAUCCAGGACUCAGAGUAGAGGGAGGUGCAAAAACACCUCGGGUAUCGGAGGUCUUUGGUGGAAACACACCUGACGUCUUUCAGAUGGCGGAUGAAAGUGAUUCUAGGUCAGACGAGAUGGGAGAUGAUUCGGUUUUCUACAGUGACGAGGAGCAAGAACAGAAGGACAGACUUGCUUUCCUGUCAAGUCAUUUUGGUGUCAAAAGGUGCAGACAACUUGUCAACAGUGUAGCAGAAGGUGAACCUGUUCAACACAUUGAGGAGGAUCCAGGAGAAGUCUUUAUUAACCAUGAAAGCUUGGAAAAGCAGGCCAUGUGGACUAAAGAGGAAUUCCACAGCCUCCACAUGUUAUCCUCUCACAAAAUCAAUGCUCUACAGCCAGGAGAAGCACCUGCUGAAUUUACCAAAACGUUUCCUACAUCUUGGAAAGAUGUUCAACAGCAACAGUGCACAGAGGUGGACACACGAACCGAGCAUGAUAAAGAUGCUCCAGAAGAAAAGGUGAAUUUACAAGCUUUGAUAUCUUCCCGCAACCUGUUAAAUCCAUUUAAUGAGAAGAGCCAACAUCUGCCAAAAGCUGAAACACAGUGGCGUGGAAACAGACAGCUUCAGCAGGACUCGGAAAUGGAGCAAAUUCUUCAAACUCAUCCGCAGUUUCCUCAGAACCCCAACCCGAGCCCCUCUACUCUGCCUUCCCUGAAGAAAUCCGGCGGCUUCAAUCACCUAACCUCCUCCAAAUACAGCACCGGGUCCUACCGCAGGAUCUGCAAAGGCAACACCCAGCAGAAAAUAAAAGACUAUGAGAUCAAGUUGAGAAAAAAGUGA